AGCGAACGCUGGCGGCAGGCCUAAAACAUGCAAGUCGAACGCCCGUAGCAAUACGGGAGUGGCAGACGGGUGAGUAACACGUGGGAACGUGCCCUUGGUUCGGAACAACACAGGGAAACUUGUGCUAAUACCGGAUAAGCCCUUACGGGGAAAGAUUUAUCGCCAGAGGAUCGGCCCGCGUCUGAUUAGCUAGUUGGUGAGGUAACGGCUCACCAAGGCUACGAUCAGUAGCUGGUCGAGAGGAUGAUCAGCCACAC
rnacentral:rRNA from 1 species